rnacentral:rRNA from 1 species
AAUCAACGCUGGCGGCAUGCCUAACACAUGCAAGUCGAGCGAGAAAGUGUAGCAAUACAUGAGUAAAGCGGCGCACGGGUGAGUAACACGUGGAUAACCUGCCUCAAAGUGGGGAAUAACACCGGGAAACCGGUGCUAAUACCGCAUAUUCUGACGAAGUCUGCGGAUUUCGUCAGGAAAGGAGCAAUUCGCUAUGAGAGGGGUCCGCGGCUGAUUAGCUAGUUGGUGAGGUAAUGGCUCACCAAGGCAACGAUCAGUAGCCGGUCUGAGAGGACGGUCGGCCACACUGGAACUGAGACACGGUCCAGACUCCUACGGGAGGCAGCAGUGGGGAAUUUUUCGCAAUGGGGGCAACCCUGACGAAGCAAUGCCGCGUGGAUGAUGAAGUCUCUUGGGACGUAAAAUCCUUUCGACGGGGACGAAACCGCAAGGUUGACGGUACCCGUAGAAGAAGCCCCGGCUAACUCCGUGC